GACGAACGCUGGCGGCGUGCUUAACACAUGCAAGUCGAGCGAAAAGACCCUGCUCUUGCGGGGUGGUCGUUUGGCGAACGGGUGAGUAAAACGCGAGUAACCUGCCCUUGUCUGUGGGAUAACUUCUGGAAACUCGGGCUAAUACACGAUAGAAGCUCCUGCUGCAUGUUGGUGGUUGGUAAGAUUCGGCGGUUCGGGAUGGACUCGCUGCUUAUCAGCUUCUUGGUGGGGUAGUGGCUUACCAAGGCUUCGACGGGUACCCUGCCUGAGAGGGUGACCGGGCACAAUGGGACUGAGAGACGGCCCAGACUGCUACGGGAGGCAGCAGUGGGAAAUAUUGCACAAUGGGCGGAAGCCUGAGGCAGCAACGCCGCGUGCGUGAUGACGGCCUUCGGGUUGUAAACCGCUGUCGCCUGUGACGAAGCGUGAGUGACGGUAAUGGGUAAAGAAGCACCGGCUAACUACGUG
rnacentral:rRNA from 1 species